rnacentral:rRNA from 1 species
GACGAACGCUGUUGGCGUGCCUAACACAUGCAAGUCGAGCGAAGUGAGUACUACGGUACGAACUUAGCGGCGGACGGGUGAGUAACGCGUGGACAAUCUACCCUGUAGACUGGGAUAACACCUCGAAAGGGGUGCUAAUACCGGAUAAUGUCGAGAAGCGGCAUCGCUUUUCGAAGAAAGGAGAGAAUCCGCUAUAGGAGGAGUCCGCGUCCCAUUAGCUAGUUGUCGAGGGUAACGGCCCACCAAGGCGACGAUGGGUAGCCGGCCUGAGAGGGUGAACGGCCACACUGGAACUGAGACACGGUCCAGACUCCUACGGGAGGCAGCAGUGGAGAAUAUUGUACAAUGGGGGAAACCCUGACACAGCAACGCCGCGUGAGCGAAGAAGGCCUUCGGGUUGUAAAGCUCAAUAGUAUGGGAAGAUAAUGACGGUACCAUACGAAAGCCCCGGCUAACUACGUGCCAGCCGCCGCAGUAACAC